GGAUAUAUUUAAGUUGCUAAUGAUACUUGCUCUAGUCUAACUAAUUUUUUCACUAGGCCAUGUUUUGCCUCCAUUUAAGCAAGUUUCAAAAGUGAAUUCAAGGUAUUUUUCCAUGUAUGUUUCGACACAUUUGGUUUCUCAUUUGACAUUGAACUUCUGGAGUAUAAAUUGGUUGAUGAGUGAUGACCUUUGUUAAAUCAUCUUAGGUCUUUUUGUAUUAAUUAUUUGACAUUGAACUUCCUCAAUGGCUUAGUUAUAAAAAUUGUUUGUGUACUGGUGCUUGCUAAAUCAUCUUAUUUCUUUUUUAUAUCUAUUGAUUCAUUUAUUUAUUUUAGUUUACUCUAGGUCUUCUGUUGUUCUGCUAUAAUCAUGAAUUGGGUUUUCAUACCUUAUGGUACCCUCAGCAUCUCUAGUGAGUUUAUAUAGAUUCAAAGCUUAUUUUUAUUUUCUUUCUCCUCUGUUCAUAUUGUUUCAUUAUAUCAGAGCCUCUGACUGGCGUCAAUGGCUUCUUCCGACGACAACUCGUCUUCCAAUCCUAUUCCUCUGCAAGUUACUACAACAACUCAGAAUUGGAAUCCUUUCUCCAAUUCCCUUACAUCGUCUCUUACAUUCAAGUUGGAUCGUACUAAUUUUCUAGCAUGGAAAUCAAUGUGAUUGGUCAUGAGCUUGAUGAAAUCUUGCUCUCUGAUCUCACUCCUCAAUGACUCAUCAAUGGAGAUCUCAACCCUAUUUUCACUACUUGGCGCAAGAAAGAUCAACUUCUUCUUUCUUGGUGAUCUUUCUUGGUGGCGAUCAUCCAUGAGUGAAGACAUCCUUGGCACAGUUGCGAAUUACACCGGCUUUCGUGCGGUGUAGAAAGCCUUAGAGUAGAAAUUUUCAAGUUAAUACAAGGGUUGUUUGCUUUAACUCAAAGGCGAACUUUCUAACAUUCAUAUAGGGACUCGCUCGAUCUUUGACUAUGUUGAUAAGAUCAAAUCCCUUUGUGAUUCGUUAGCUAUAGUUGGUCAUCCCAUCACUAAUUAGUCUCAACCUCAAGCAAAUUUAACUAAGCAAUCUUUUGAUUAUGAGUCUCAAGCAUUUGUUGCUCAUCUCUUCCUGAUUUUGGUGAUGAUCAUGGUUGGUAUGUUGACACCGGAGCUACCAAUCACAUUGCUUAUAACAUGGAUCAUCUUGAAUCUGCUAUUACAUAUUCAGGCCAAGAAACUGUGGCCGUUGGAGAUGGACAAACAAACGGGUGCAGUCCUGAGCAAAGGGAAGCUUAAGAAUGGUCUUUAUCUUCUUGGAGAUGAGGAUUCUACUCUCUUAAACACAUUAGUGGAAUGUCAGCUUGCUACCUCAACCAUGUCCCCUAAUUCUUUUGAUUGUUUUUCAAAUUCUUGUAGUAACAAGUGUAUUCAUUAUGAAAAUACUAUUUCUCUUUGUAAUAUUGUCACAGAUAAUGAAGAAUUCAAUUCUUCUUAUUCCAUGAUUUCAAAACCUGCUUGUGUUUGUCUCAAAUUUGUCUAAUGAUAUAAACCUUUGGUAUUGUAAACUCGAGCAUUCUGCAUUUUAACCAAAAUACUAACCACAACAAACAUUCCUCAUUCACUUAAAAACUUACAAUUUUGUAAUGCUUGUCAAAGAGGUAAAAGUCACAGACUUCCCUUUUCCUUGUCCAUUACUCGUGCAAAACAACCUCUGGAAUUUAUUCAUACUGAUUUAUGGGGGUCAUCUCACACUGCCUCCAAAGAUAAUUAAAAGUAUUACAUUGUGUUUGUGGAUGACUUUAGCAGAUUCUUUUGGAUAUUUCCUCUUGUUCUUAAAUCACAAGCUUUUGAAACCUUUAUUCAGCUUAAAAGCCUGUUUGAGAAACAGUUUAAUCUACCUAUCAAAGGUUUUCAAGCAUAUGGUGGAGGUGAAUAUAAGCCCUUUGCUAAGUUUCUGAGAGAUCAAGGUAUUAUGUUUCAACAUCCUUGUCCUCACACACAUGAAAAGAAUGGUAGUGUGGAACGGAAGCAUCAACACAUCACAAAAACUGGCUUGACUUUUAUUGGCACAAUAUGGCUUAGACUUGACUUAUUGGUGGUAUGCCUUUCAAUGCUUGUUUCAGCAAUCUUCUUAUUACAGCAUCUUGAAGUCAUUUGGAUGUGCAUGCUUUCCCCCUUUUUGGCCAUAUGAUCAUCACAAACUGGAGUUUUGAUUUGAAGAAUACAUUUUCCUUGGCUACUCUCCAAAGCACAUGGGCUAUCUCUGUGAAAACAAAAAUGGUAGAAUGUUCAUAGCUCGAAAUGUAGUCCUCAAUGAACAUGUCUAUCUUGCACCACAAUCAUCAUCUACUUCUUAGGUAUCUCCAAA